UACGUAGGGUGCAAGCGUUAAUCGGAAUUACUGGGCGUAAAGCGUGCGCAGGCGGUUUGUAAGUCAGAUGUGAAAAUCCCCGGGCUUAACCUGGGAACUGCGUUUGAAACUACAAGGCUAGAGUGUGGCAGAGGGGGUGGAAUUCCACGUGUAGCAGUGAAAUGCGUAGAGAUGAUGGAGGAACACCGAUGCGGAAGGCAGCCCCUGGGUAACACUGACGCUCAGGCACGAAAGCGUGGGAGCAAACAGG
rnacentral:rRNA from 1 species